rnacentral:lncRNA from 1 species
UAAAACACACACACACACAUAGCAGAAAAGAAGAGCAACCUCUGUCAUUAAAACGGGCUGUUUUCUCCCAUGACACCUAGCUUUCCCCCCUCUUCGCUUUACCGUCACAAGAGCCCUGUGGGGGUAAGUCAGGCUGGACUGGCCCAAGAUCACCCACCGAGCCUCAGGGCUCAGUGAGGACUGAAAGCAGACUCUCCUGCUCCCACAGCGCAAAAGUGGCUCUUGGGAUGAACACAUUUCUGAAGCCCUCUUUCAGGCAUGCCACCCUGGCCAUCAUCUGCUUGUCCAGAGUGGGUACAGCAAUGCAGAGGCAAAACAGACAAAGCCUUGGGGGAGGCAGGGAUUAUCAUUGGGUAGGAGCCGGGCAGAUGGCACAGAGAAUCUGGGAGGCAGAUGGCAGAUGGCAGGAGUAGCCAGGACAAGGCAGCAGAAGCCCUUGGCUUUGGAAUCGGGGUGUGUGUGUCUGUGUGUGUUAGGGAGACUAGCCGUCAGCCCAUUUUCCUGGGGAUUUCCAUGAAGCAGACUGAGCCUUUGUCACUAGGGAGAUUCUAGCUGGGCCAAAUUCACAGUGAUGCUCAGCACCGCAGAGGGUCGGUCCUCGCCCUGCUAGCAGAGUGAACUGGGCUGAAAGAAUGCCGUUUCCCCUGUGGAUUUGUUCAGAAAGUCCACCUGCUCUUUGAAUGUUGACCGGCGUCCUUUUGUGUUGUUCCUUAAAGACCGGCAAGCACUCCCAAGACCUGGAUUGAUCACAGUGCUAUUUCUACCCGGUGGAUCUUGGGAUGAUUUUUUAAACAAGCCUUUGACACCACCAGGCUACAGGUCCAUUUGAUCCUCCUUGUUAAGAAAGCAGCAAAUGUCCCUCAGGAGAGGGCACCUGGUUUUUAAUUCCCAAUUCUGUAAGCCCUGCCCAGCUCAUCCCCUGCCUGCAUCUGAGAAGCCAAAGUUAAAAAGAGUCAAAUGCUCAGCAAGGGGGAGAGAGAGUUACAGGAGGCUCUAUGACAAAAGAAAGAAGACAGCCAAGGCUGCCAGGAUCUUCCUGAGCAGAAGCCGCUUCCUGAUGUUCUUCACAAGAAAUAGGCAGAGCGGGCUAUCCUCCUUUAUGUCCAGACAGAUUGAGGUUCGUUUCCCAGCAUCUCCAGGUAAGGCUGAGAAAAAUCCCAGAAAGUUCUUGCUGACGGUCAGUGUUGGUGAGCUUGGGCUAAAUGGACCAUGGGUUUGGCUGACAAAAUGACAGCUUCCUAUGUUUGCAUUGCAAACAUAGUGGUCCUGGUGCCACAAGGCUAUUGUGAAAAGCUCUGCUGUAUUCCCACACGAGGGCUUGCGGAGAGAGCCACACACCACCUGGGUUUUACUGCAUAAGUAAAUGUUGUG